rnacentral:rRNA from 1 species
GACGAACGCUGGCGGCGUGCUUAACACAUGCAAGUCGAGCGGUAAGGCCCUUUCGGGGGUACACGAGCGGCGAACGGGUGAGUAACACGUGGGUGACCUGCCCUCAGCUCUGGGGUAAGCCUGGGAAACCGGGUCUAAUACCGGAUAUGACUCCAUGACGCAUGUUUGUGGGGUGGAAAGCCUUGUGCGGCUGAGGAUGGGCCCGCGGCCUAUCAGCUUGUUGGUGGGGUGANGGCCUACCAAGGCGACGACGGGUAGCCGGCCUGAGAGGCGACCGGCCACACUGGGACUGAGACACGGCCCAGACUCCUACGGGAGGCAGCAGUGGGAAUCUUGCGCAAUGGGCGAAAGCCUGACGCAGCGACGCCGCGUGAGGGAUGACGGCC